rnacentral:rRNA from 1 species
GAUGAACGCUGGCGGCGUGCCUAAUACAUGCAAGUCGAGCGAACAGACGAGGAGCUUGCUCCUCUGACGUUAGCGGCGGACGGGUGAGUAACACGUGGAUAACCUACCUAUAAGACUGGGAUAACUUCGGGAAACCGGAGCUAAUACCGGAUAAUAUAUUGAACCGCAUGGUACAAUAGUGAAAGACGGUUUUGCUGUCACUUAUAGAUGGAUCCGCGCCGCAUUAGCUAGUUGGUAAGGUAACGGCUUACCAAGGCAACGAUGCGUAGCCGACCUGAGAGGAUGAGCAGGGGCACUGGAAAUGAGACACGGGCCGGGGGGGUAAGGAGGGCACACGUGGGGAAUAGGGUGCAAUGGGGGAAAGUCGGAAAAAGAAACACCUGUUGUGGGAAGAAGAUAUGAGGAUUGGAAAUCACUCUAAUUGGGGAGGAAGGAAAGUAAGGUAAGACCUUGCUGGGUGGACGUGACCAACAGAAGAAGACACGGCUAAAUUGGUG